CUUAACACAUGCAAGUCGAGGGGUAUAGGUUUUCGGACCUAGAGACCGGCGCACGGGUGCGUAACGCGUAUGCAAUCUACCUUUUACAGAGGGAUAGCCCAGAGAAAUUUGGAUUAAUACCUCAUAGUAUUAUUGAAUGGCAUCAUUUAAUAAUUAAAGUCACAACGGUAAAAGAUGAGCAUGCGUCCCAUUAGCUAGUUGGUAAGGUAACGGCUUACCAAGGCAACGAUGGGUAGGGGUCCUGAGAGGGAGAUCCCCCACACUGGUACUGAGACACGGACCAGACUCCUACGGGAGGCAGCAGUGAGGAAUAUUGGUCAAUGGGCGCAAGCCUGAACCAGCCAUGCCGCGUGCAGGAUGACGGUCCUAUGGAUUGUAAACUGCUUUUGUACAGGAAGAAACAGUUCUACGUGUAGAACCUUGACGGUACUGUAAGAAUAAGGAUCGGCUAACUCCGUGCCAGCAGCCGCGGUAAUACGGAGGAUCCAAGCGUUAUCCGGAAUCAUUGGGUUUAAAGGGUCCGUAGGCGGUUUUGUAAGUCGGUGGUGAAAGCCCAUCGCUCAACGGUGGAACGGCCGUUGAUACUGCAAGACUUGAAUUAUUAGGAAGUAACUAGAAUAUGUAGUGGAGCGGUGAAAUGCUUAAAUAUACAUGGAAUACCAAUUGCGAAGGCAGGUUACUACUAAUAUAUUGACCCUG
rnacentral:rRNA from 1 species